UACUCUACUGAGGAGAUGUGAUGACUUUGCUUUCCCUAAGUGAAACUGGAAAAAUCAACAUCUUUUCAUGACAUGAUCAAAAUGGCUAUUUCCAACAGAAAAAACAUCCCAUCAGCUGAUGAUGGACAAAAUCUAGUGGGCGAUUCAGAAAAUGCUGAGACAGUUGCGUAGGAGGCUACCCAUGGGUGCGACUGCAGGCAUAGGAGCUGAGGUGACUGAGCAUGCUGGUGUAUGCUAUAAGCCCUAGGAACUGUUCAGAGACGGUGGCGACUAUCCUACAGGGAAAGGGCCAGGUCAGAAGGACCCAAAACCGCGAGGUGUUGAACAUUUUUGAUGAGGAAUCAGGUACCUUCAACAGUAGGUGACUGAGAAGUGUACUCCGAAGCAGCUGAAACAAUAUUUGGUGAGGAUUUCAUAGACUUUAUUGUGACACCUAAAUAUCAUACCCU
rnacentral:lncRNA from 1 species